GUUGAUUAUAGCGGUCAGGUGCAUUGCCGUAGAAACGGCCGCCAUGACUUUCGUGAGGGGGCGUGUUGCCACCUUGGUAUCCAGGGUUGCUGCCAGGGUGUGCAGGGCCAGGGCCACCUUGGUAUCCAGGAGGCCCGCCUUGGUUACCAGAACCCUGGUACCCAGGAGGUCCGCCUUGGUUACCCUGAUACCCAGGAGGUCCGCCUUGGUUACCCUGAUACCCAGAAGGUCCACCCUGGUAGCCAGGAGCACCGCUUUGCUGAUAGUUUUGUGCACCACCAGGUGCAUAGCCCGGCUGACUUCCCUGUGUGUACCCUGCCUGCGGGUUUGGCAUGUGGGGUGAACCGCCUGGUGUGUAAGCUGCCUGUGGGUUCUGCAUGUGAGAUUGAUAAUGCGGUGGACCCCCAGCCGUAUGCAGUGGAGGCGGUGGUGGAGGCAUGCCUCUGUUCUGGCCCGGUGGUGGUGGAGGGCUGUUGAAGCCCUGGCCAGGUGGUGGUGGAGGGCUGUUGAAGCCCUGGCCAGGUGGUGGUGGAGGGCUGUUGAAGCCCUGGCCAGGAGGUGGUGGAGGGCUGUUGAAGCUCCCAGGAGGUGGGGGGGGGCCUGGGGGACUGUUAAAGCCCCCAGGAGGUGCAUCUCUGUUCUGGAAGUUCUGCUGAUUCUCUCUUCUCCUCUCAAAGUUCCUUGACCUGUCAAAGUUGCGGGGCCGAUCAGUGCGCCGAGACCUUU
rnacentral:lncRNA from 1 species